GGACUACUGGGGUAUCUAAUCCUGUUUGCUCCCCACGCUUUCGUACCUCAGCGUCAGAAACGGCCCAGAAAGUCGCUUUCGCCACUGGUGUUCCUCCCAAUAUCUACGCAUUUCACCGCUACACUGGGAAUUCCACUUUCCUCUGCCGUCCUCAAGUCCGCCAGUAUCAAAGGCACUCCCGAGGUUGAGCCUCGGUCUUUAACCCCUGACUUAACGAACCGCCUACGUACGCUUUACGCCCAAUAAUUCCGGACAACGCUUGCAUCCUACGUAUUACCGCGGCUGCUGGCAC
rnacentral:rRNA from 1 species